GACCUAGGAACAAGGAAAUAAAGUAUAUAUUUCUUAUAUGACUGUUACAGAACAGGUUAAGUUGUUGCCAAUUUUUUUUCCAACCCUUAACAAUGAAGAAAAAGAAGAGGGGGUUAUUUAUAGGCAAAAUUAGGGCACGGAAAAAACUUUGAGAAUUUUCGGAUAAGAACGGGGCCUCAUUCGAAUUCAAAAACUCCAAAUUUUCAGAAAAGCUCAACAAAUUCAGUAUGAAUAGGAUUUGGGAUUGACGACGUCGCUCACUCUGUAUGCUUUGCUGUUGGUUCAAGAAUAUCUUGAAUCGCUGUGUACGUUUCUGCUACCGUUUGAAGCUGCUGCAGUCGUUUGAUCGCUGUUAUGCUGAGGGAACUAUGUUUGGGCCGGAUUGGAGUUGGGUCGGC
rnacentral:lncRNA from 1 species